CACGUAGUUAGCCGGGGCUUCUUACUCAGGUACCGUCAUUUUCUUCCCUGCUGAUAGAGCUUUACAUCACGAAUGACUUCUUCACUCACGCGGCGUUGCUGCAUCAGGGUUUCCCCCAUUGUGCAAUAUUCCCCACUGCUGCCUCCCGUAGGAGUCUGGGCCGUGUCUCAGUCCCAGUGUGGCCGUCCACCCUCUCAGGCCGGCUACUGAUCGUCGCCUUGGUAGGCCGUUACCCUGCCAACCAGCUAAUCAGACGCGGGCCCAUCCUGUACCACCGGGGUUUUCCGCGCCAUGCCAUGCGGCACGCCGCGCUUAUGCGGUAUUAGCACCUAUUUCCAGGUGUUAUCCCCCAGUACAGGGCAGGUUGCCCACGCGUUACUCACCCGUCCGCCACUCGCGCGGCGCCGCAGGGGCCGAGGCCCCUGCCGCACGCCGCGCCCGUUCGACUUGCAUGUGUUAGGCACGCCGCCAGCGUUCAUCCUGAGCCAGGAUCAAACU
rnacentral:rRNA from 1 species